GUGCGGCAGCGAAGUGGCAGGGCCGCUCCCUGUCCCCUGAGGACACGGCAGAGGGGCGGGGGCCCAGGCCCACCCGGGGCUUGUCUGCGGUGCCCUGCACAGAGGCUCCCUGGGGCCGUGCACGACCUCACCAGCAGCGCCGGGCAGCCGGGAGCAGGCUCAGGUUUGGGGCCAGGGACCGAGGCUGGGCAGUUGACCGUGGCAGCCUCCGCCCUUCACGCACACACACACACAUGUGAACACACGUGCACACAACACGCAUGUCCAGGCCUGCAUCUGUGCAAGAGGGUCAGCCGUCUCGCAGGAGCCAGACCCCCCCAGUCACAGGCACCUAUUAAGCACCUACUGUCUGCCGGACCUUGCUAUGGAUCCAGGUGGGAAACCACCCAGCAGGCAGGCGGGCAAGAGCCUUGGUCCCGAGGGGGAGGCUGGGAGGGGCUGGUCCCCUUCCUGCCCUGCCCGGGGCCGGUGGACCCUCAGUUCACACGCCCGGGGCCAGCCCAGCAGCCCCGUGCCUGCCACUUCCGGCUCUGCCAUGGAGAGGCUGCCCAGAGCCAGGCCCACUUAGUACCUGGCGGCCAGGCCGGCUCCCGACACACCUGUGCGGCUGUGCCAGCGCCAGUCAUGCUGAUGAGGCCUCUGGGUGAUCAGCAGGUGGGGGGGCAGCUUGGCCCUGGCCCGGAGCAAGGCUGGAGGAGCUGGGCCAGUGUCCUCGCCUCAGGGGAGUGGUGGGCACAGCUGCCCCGCGGGCGCCGCCCACCUCACACAGACCAAACCCGGGAAGCAAUGGUGAUGGGCGAAGCUAUCACGGUGCGGAGCAGCCAGGAGCAGGCUCUGAGGUCUGGUCCGGGCACCUCCCUGGGGGCCGGGUGGUCCGGGCACCUCCCUGGGGGCCGCGUGGUCCGGGCACCUCCCUGGGGGCCGGGUGGUCCGGGCACCUCCCUGGGGGCCGCGUGGUCCUGGACACCUCCCUGGGGGCCGGGUGGUCCUGGACACCUCCCUGGGGGCCAUGUGCUGGGUCAUCAGACACAGCCCCAGGCCCCCAGGUGGCAGCUGGCACGAGGCUCAGCUGUGACACAGUCGGAGCUCCGUCAGCGUGUGUGCGUCACAGAGGAGGAGGGGCCGCUCGGCCGUGACGGGGGCUGUGCACCGGCCGCAGGAGGGAUCGGCACCCGCUCUGGACUCCAGGGCGGCACCGGGUCCUCCCGACUCCUCUCCAGGGAUGGGUGA
rnacentral:lncRNA from 1 species